UUGNACGCUGGCGGCAGGCCUAACACAUGCAAGUCGAGCGGCAGCACGGGUACUUGUACCUGGUGGCGAGCGGCGGACGGGUGAGUAAUGCCUAGGAAUCUGCCUGGUAGUGGGGGAUAACGCUCGGAAACGGACGCUAAUACCGCAUACGUCCUACGGGAGAAAGCAGGGGACCUUCGGGCCUUGCGCUAUCAGAUGAGCCUAGGUCGGAUUAGCUAGUUGGUGAGGUAAUGGCUCACCAAGGCGACGAUCCGUAACUG
rnacentral:rRNA from 1 species